CCGUGAUCCUCCAUCUCUGAACGACUACCGUGAUCCUCCAUCUCUGAACGACUACCGUGAUCCUGAAUCCUCCAUUCUCUGAACUACUACCGUGAUCCUGAAUCCUCCAUCUCUGAACUACUACCGUGAUCCUCCAUCUCUGAACGACUACCGUGAUCCUGAAUCUCUGAACGACUGCCGUGAUCCUCCAUCUCUGAACGACUACCGUGAUCCUGAAUCCUCCAUCUCUGAACGACUACCGUGAUCCUGAAUCCUCCAUCUCUGAACUACUACCGUGAUCCUGAAUCCUCCAUCUCUGAACGACUACCGUGAUCCUCCAUCUCUGAACGACUACCGUGAUCCUGAAUCCUCCAUCUCUGAACGACUACCGUGAUCCUCCAUCUCUGAACGACUACCGUGAUCCUCCAUCUCUGAACUACUACCGUGAUCCUCCAUCUCUGAACUACUACCGUGAUCCUCCAUCUCUGAACGACUACCGUGAUCCUCCAUCUCUCUGAGGGCUCUGAACUACUACCGUGAUCCUGAAUCCUCCAUCUCUGAACGACUACCGUGAUCCUCCAUCUCUCUGAGGGCUCUGAACUAUACUUUCUGGCCUCAGGUCUUUCCAGUUUAUAUUGUCUGUGUCCCAUUUCUACAUGGAGAUGUCAACACCUACUGAAUGUACUGAACUCAUUUGUCCGAAGAUUUGUAUUAUAUUCAUUCUUCUCGAUUUUUAAGCUUCUCUGAUCUAUGAGCUGAAUGAAACGUUGGGAGGACUUGCUAGACCUAUGGAAAAACAGUUUUCAUUCAACUUUUAACAUCCUCUAUAUAACACCAAUUUUUCUUUUUUUUUUUAAUCAUCCAUGUUGGUAGUAGAGUACAUUUGUGUACUUCUUAUGGGGGCUUGUAGCAAAUGAUGAUCAUUCUGUCAUAUAAACAUUGGCUUUACACUACAUUUUCAGUCACCUUUUCGAUUUGGGGGGGUGUGUGUGUACCACUGUGACAUCGCAAAGGCAUACUCCUUGACUGUUGGUGAUUUGCAAACCGUAAUUAAAUAUUUCCAAAUGAG